rnacentral:rRNA from 1 species
AGUCGAGGGGGCCCAGCAAUGGGUCACCGGCGAACGGGUGCGUAACACGUGAGCGACCUGCCCUGAGAUGGGGAAUAGCCGGCCCAACGGCCGGGUAAUACCGCAUACGCUCUCUGAGCUGCAUGGCUUGGGGAGGAAACCUUUUGGGUCUCAGGAGGGGCUCGCGCCCUAUCAGCUAGUUGGCGGGGUAACGGCCCACCAAGGCAAUGACGGGUAGCUGGUCUGAGAGGAUGGCCAGCCACAUUGGGACUGAGAAACGGCCUAGACUCCUACGGGAGGCAGCAGUGGGGAAUCUUGCGCAAUGGCCGAAAGGCUGACGCAGCGACGCCGCGUGGAGGAUGAAGCCCUUCGGGGUGUAAACUCCUGUUGCCCGGGACGAACCUCAGGUUUUGACCUGACUGACGGUACCGGGUGAGGAAGCACCGGCUAACUCUGUGCCAGCAGCCGCGGUAAUACAGAGGGUGCGAGCGUUGUCCGGAAUCACUGGGCGUAAAGGGCGCGUAGGCGGCUUGCGAAGCGUGCGGUGAAAGCUCGGGGCUCAACCCCGAGUCGGCCGUGCGAACUGGCGAGCUGGAGCACGGUAGAGGCACAUGGAAUUCCGGGUGUAGCGGUGGAAUGCGUAGAGAUCCGGAAGACACCGGUGGCGAAGGCGGUGUGCUGGGCCGUUGCUGACGCUGAGGCGCGACAGCGUGGGGAGCAAACAGGA